rnacentral:lncRNA from 1 species
GGGAAAAGAGCCUUUUAUUCUGUGACUCCCUCAGCUUUUAGUGCGUUUUUAAACUUCUUCUUGGGGAAUACAGAUUUUCGGAGGGGCUGAGCAACACCCCUGGAUGCAAUUCUGAGGGGAAAGAAACCCUCUAGAAUCCUGCGACCCCACCACCAUGUCGGAGCUCCCACACCGGACGACUUUUAGCACAUUUCCCAACUCGUUUUUUGGGGUGGUAUUUUUAAGCGGGCCGAGAAAGACCCGUGGACGCAAUGCCGAGGGGAGGGGAGAGGAGCCUUCCCUCAGCAGGUUGGGGCACUCCGGGCUCCUUGCAGUGCUUUUUUUGAACGCUUUUUUCCCUCAGCAGGUUUAGGCAUUCCGGGCUCCUUGCAGUGCGUUUUUUGAACGGUUUUUCCCUCAGCAGGUUGGGGCACUCCGGGCUCUUUGCAGAGCGUUUUUUGAACGGUUUUUUGGGCACGUCUCGGCUUCCGAGGGGGCCGUGCCCGGCCCUGUCCCUCCCCACAGGCGGCGGCGGGCGGGAAGCCCCGGCGGGCUCGGCCUCGCACUCCCGGCGCCCCCUGCGGGCCGGGGCCGGCACCGCCUCAACCGCCGGGUUCCCCCCAUCACCGGGAAUGGCGGCCGCUCCCCUUCCCCGCCCCGCCGGGGCCAUCCCGGCCCGCAGCGCCGCCGACACCGUCACACGCCGGAGGGCGGGCGGGCACGGAUGAGGAAGGAGGGGGAAGGAGCCGUUGCCAUGGCGAGCGCGGCCCGCCCUUGCCUCCCCACGUCAGCGCCGUCUCCCGCCCGGCCGCGGGUGAUUGACAGUUGCUAUGGCAACAGGCUCGCCCCCGCCGCCAUUUUGUCAGUUGGGUUUUUUUUUAAAUUUAAAAAAAUAUUUAAAAAAUUAAAUUAAAAUAAAAUAAUAAUAAUAAAAAACAAGACCAAAUCGCUCAAUUUCGGCCAGAAUUUCUGGGGUUGUUUUUUUUUUAAGUUUUUUUUUUCUUCUCCUUCUUCCGACCUCCACGGCGAAAGGAAAAGGAAAAGAAGGGACGCAAAAAAAGUGCGCUCCGAGGGUCCCGCCGGGGAUGCGCGGCCGAGCUUGAGGCGGCGGCGGCGGCGGUGCGGGCAGCGAAGCCGGUUCGUGAGGAAGAAGGGAGGGAGGGAAGGAGGAGCGGGCGGGGAGGGAGGGAGGGGGAGGAGGUAGCGGCUGGCAGGCGGGGGAGGGAGGGAGGGAGCGAGGAGUUCCCGGGGGCUCGGUACGGCGCUGCGCUUCCCCCCAUCCCCUCCUCCUCCUCCUUCUCCUCCUCCUCCUCCCGCUCCUCCCGCUCCCCCCGCCGCUGUCCCCGCGCUCCCGGCCGGGGCUCAGGCCGCCGAUCGCAGCCGAGCCGAGGCGAGGCCGAGCCGCCGCCGGGCGCUGCGCAGGUUUGGACCGCGCGCCAUUUUGUGAGGGCAGCGAACAGCCAGAGCCCGGCCGGGGAGCCGCCGGGCCGCCCGGGCUCCCCUUCCCACCGCGGGCAGAGCCGCGGCCCGAGGGAGGAGGAGGCGCCGCCGCCGCCGAGGCCCCCGGGGAAGAGCGGGAGGACGCGCCCGGCGCUCGCCCCGCGGAGGGAGAGGCCUCGCCCCGGGAGAAGCCGCCGCACGGUGCUGUUUGCUGCUGGACUCCCCUGUCCCCACAACCCCGCAGGAUGAUAUGAGACUUGAAAGAAGACGAUGCAUACAGGUGAUUGAUAUUCAGGAUUUUUACAGUGACAAAUGUUGGAUGUUCUUGAUGUGCUUCUUGUUGCUCUUCCAUUCUCUGUCCCCCCAAAAUGAUGUUGUUCCAACUUAGCAGAAUAUUGAAGAAUUUUGGAAUCUUUCUUUGCCCUUUCAAAACUCUUCUGCAGCUUGGAAAACUCUUCUUCUUCCAGGAAGAAAAUGGUUUUCCUGAAUGGAAAUAUUGUUUUCAAAGUUUUUCUGGGAAUGCUUCUGAAGGUGCUGGUUGAUAUUUUUAGGAAAUUCUCCCUUUUUUUGGCUAAUCAGAAAUCCUGGAAGUGCCAAGUGUAUUUGCAGCUUCAGUGGCUGAUUUUUACUUGUGCUGGAAAUACACUCAGGGAAAAUCACAAGAAUAAAAUUAAAUUGUCCAAGAGGGUUGCUCUAAUU